rnacentral:rRNA from 1 species
UACGAAGGGGGCUAGCGUUGCUCGGAAUCACUGGGCGUAAAGCGCACGUAGGCGGAUUGCUAAGACAGGGGUGAAAUCCUGGAGCUCAACUCCAGAACUGCCUUUGAUACUGGCAACCUUGAGUCCGGGAGAGGUGAGUGGAACUGCGAGUGUAGAGGUGAAAUUCGUAGAUAUUCGCAAGAACACCAGUGGCGAAGGCGGCUCACUGGCCCGGUACUGACGCUGAGGCACGAAAGCGUGGGGAGCAAACAGG